rnacentral:rRNA from 1 species
AUGAACGCUGGCGGCGUGCCUCAUACAUGCAAGUCGAGCGAACAGACGAGGAGCUUGCUCCUCUGACGUUAGCGGCGGACGGGUGAGUAACACGUGGAUAACCUACCUAUAAGACUGGGAUAACUUCGGGAAACCGGAGCUAAUACCGGAUAAUAUAUUGAACCGCAUGGUUCAAUAGUGAAAGACGGUUUUGCUGUCACUUAUAGAUGGAUCCGCGCCGCAUUAGCUAGUUGGUAAGGUAACGGCUUACCAAGGCAACGAUGCGUAGCCGACCUGAGAGGGUGAUCAGCCACACUGGAACUGAGACACGGUCCAGACUCCUACGGGAGGCAGCAGUAGGGAAUCUUCCGCAAUGGGCGAAAGCUUGACGGAGCAACGCCGCGUGAGUGAUGAAGGUCUUCGGAUCGUAAAACUCUGUUAUUAGGGAAGAACAAAUGUGUAAGUAACUAUGCACGUCUUGACGGUACCUAAUCAGAAAGCCACGGCUAACUACGUG